rnacentral:rRNA from 1 species
AAUACGUUCCCGGGCCUUGUACACACCGCCCGUCACACCACGAAAGUCGGCAACACCCGAAGCCGGUGGCCCAACCCGCAAGGGGGGGAGCCGUCGAAGGUGGGGUCGGUGAUUGGGGUG